rnacentral:lncRNA from 1 species
CAAAUUUCUGUGGAUUGAAUUCUCACCAUUCUGCUUCUAUGGGUAUAUGCUUUUGUCAAGAAGGUUGGACACAACAGAAGUCAAUCAUAUAGCAUUUUUGCUGAUUGGGUUCUCAUUGUUUUACUCUCAUUCUUCGAAAUUUCUCCAUUGACUUCUCAUUUUGAGAUACCGCUUUUGCUAUUGCUUUUAUCUUUCGGACAUUUUUUGAUCUCUUCAUUGUUACUCCUUUCUUCCUGUUAUGGAAAAGAUUCACUUCAGACACAUAACAUAGGGCUCAAAUGGCAGCAGAUAUCAGGACAAAAUAAUAAUGACAAAAACCAAGUAAGAACUUCACACCAUCUUAUAAGAGAGAAGGAAAAAAUCAACUUGAAUGGAAUGAAGUACAUCAUUUAUUGUCAAGGGUUUGAAGAAGCUUCCAGGGCCUUGGAUCAAGUGGUCAGGCUGGGGACGAGUUGGGGUACACCUAGGGUUUAGACAAAUAUUCUUAAGCCCUUUCACAUGUAGUGGCAAUUUUUUUUUUCCCUUUUUGUUUGUUUGUUUGUAUGUGUGUGCAUGUGUCACGAAGACUUGUAAAAGAAAGGGAAAAGAAUAUUUUCCUUUUUGAAUGAAUAUAUUGAAUCGGGAGACGUAGCUUUAUAUAAGAGAUUUCCUACAAUCAUGCUAAUCUAUUCUUAGUAGUCUAAGUAUAAAAGGCAACUAAUUAAAUAUACAACUAAUACAAUAUAUUUGUUAAUGAAUGGCUGGAUAUUUUGUCAAUGAAAAGCUAGAUGUCAUUGACCUUCUCAACAAAGACUUAACUUUAAUUCUUAUAGAACAAAAAUACGCUUAUACUCAUCAAAGGGAGAUGAUGCGGAAAUGUGGAAUUGCAGUUAUGUUUUCACACCGCAAGUUUCCAUUAGUAGGAUCAUUAUGUAAAACAAAAAUUACAAAAGUACACACUAAUGUGCCUAGAAGAAUGCUAUGCCAUACAAGACCAGGAUAAAAGUAUACCAACCAAAGCUCUGUCCAGAUGACAGUUAAAUUUCAGAAAAUACCGGGGGGGNNNNNNNNNNNNNNNNNNNNNNNNNNNNNNNNNNNNNNNNNNNNNNNNNNNNNNNNNNNNNNNNNNNNNNNNNNNNNNNNNNNNNNNNNNNNNNNNNNNNCAUGCCCAUAAAAAUGAGACAAAGAAAAGUUCUGAAGAAUAAUUCCUUUCAGUUCCAGUCGUUAGGCAUCAUCUCAUCCUAAAUCUUAGGAAGGGAUCAAAUAGGGGAGAAGGAACACCAGAUGUUGGUGGCAAAGAAAUGAAGAAAGACAAAGGUAAUCACCAUUUUUGCCAUUUUCUUUGCGCACGAGACACAGAAAAGCACCAUGGAUUUCCAGAUCAGAUUCAGCAGAAACAGCUCAUCCACAAUAACCAUCUAAGAGAUGGUUAUUGAAGCUUCUAGACACCCUUAAAGAAUGAAUUCACAAUAAUGGGAAAAGAGCGAGAAGAGAUACACCAAAAAAUACCAUGCCUUAAACCUUCAUGCUAAAGCCCAAUCUCAGCAUAUAUAAAAGAAAUUCCCAGUAGAGAGAACUAUAUGUCUUUUCCAUGAUAACUUUGUGGACAAUACACAAAUUCCCAUACCUUGGUCUUCCACCAACAUAUGUAAGCCAUUCUAUGGCUAUGGAGAGGAACGCGGAAAUAAUCAUUCCAAGUUUUCAUUGGGAAAACUGUUCUAAGUUUAGUGGCAAACACUUGAAACAAGAUUUGGCACAUGACUAGUAAUGCUAAUGAAUCAAAAGGCCCCUAAUACCAAUUACUCUAGGCUUUCCUGGAUCAGGAAUAGAAAUGUUGAAUUCACAGUUUCUGCAUAAUAUCUCAGCCAUGAACCUCCCAAAAGCAAAGAAAUUAUGUCAAUUCUCAUGAAUCACCAAACAAAACUAACAGUGGUGCAUACUGGUGGGCUUCAUAACAAAGCCAACAAACUGCCACCUUUGCCACACCUUCCUCAUCCUCAAACAAUUUAUAUGUAUCUUUAUUCAAUUAUUUUACUAAAAAUUCCGCUCUUUUUUCUUCCAUGCGGCCUAUGAAAUCAGCCCUCAAUCAUUUUUUUUUUUUCCAAAAAGACAUUACCUGGUAUAGUUCCCAUUUCCAGGUUUGAGGGAUAGGUGGACUGGGGACAGACACAAUCUACAGCAGUUCUCAUCAUUAAUUCCCAAAAAGCCUGGGAUAAAAAUCCCUCUUUCCCUCUUAUACAACCUCCUGAUAAAACGUAACACAGACUAGAACUCAAUUCAUAAAUAAACAAUUUUAAGGAACUUAUUCAAGGGCCCAUCUUCCGAAAACUCAGAAUAAGUCCACUUCUAUCAACACGAACUGCUUUUUAAACCCAAUCACUUCAGGAAAAAUUCACAAGUUCAAAGAAUUUGAUUUUAAAAAGCACAUUAUUCAAACAAAAGCUAACCUCUUAAUGGGAGCACCAGAAGCUGGGAAAUGCAUGGCUGUCGUAGCAACCGAAUCUGACGUGUCCAUCCCUGCAUGUGAAGAGUGGACAAAUUUAGGGCUGGGAAAUCAUUUUCCGGGAAAAAAAAUUGUGAAUCAGUAGAAGUGAAAACGACCAAAAAAAAAAAAAAGGGGUACAUUGUGGGAUAUCUGUGAGAGUGGGCUCGGUGGUGUCCAUCGGCGCCACGCCGCUUCUCUUAUUCUUGUUUCUGUUCUUCGCCAUGGCUCCUUGACGGAGAAAAUUUUCAGGGUUGAAAGAGCGAGGGACAAAGAGAGAGGUCGAUCUAGGGUUUGACCGGUCUCAAAGUCGGGUCCCAUACAGACCCUACCUAUAAGGUCCACAUACUUUAGGCCCAAACCCAAACUACUUACAGAUUUUUAGUCCAGAUGGCCCAAGCCCAAUAGGAUUCCCACCAGUAAAAAAAUAAAAAAAAAUUAAAAAAUACAGCACGAGGAUGUGAAAUUAAUUUCACAUUUUAAACCGAAAUACGAAGAAAUUCAUUCAAUUUUUCAUUCGUUAUUAUAUUCAUAUCAAUUUUAAAACUGAAAUAUUAAUAAAAAAAAAUAGCCCGAGAAAAAUCAAAAUACAAUCUUAAUAAACUUUUAAUUCUUUCUAAUUAAAUAAUAUUGUGAUUUAUUUUCAUUCUUAUUUAUAUUUCUAUUUUCAUAGUCAUAUAUACGAUUUUUACCAUAAAUUUGUUCAUUUUUAAAGUACAAAGAUUCAUGACACUAAUUUUUAAGUUGGUGCACUCUUUAACUUGAAGUGUGGAUUGGCAACCCAAAUGUUAAUAUAACCUUUAAAGCAAUAAUUGAUGGAUGGUUUUUUCAAGAAAUUAAUAAUUAGGUAAUUUUUAUGACAUAUACCAAUAACCUUGAAGGUUGUACAUGAAAAUUUAUUUUUAAUUUUUUAAUGGAGCCAAGUGAGUCUUAUUUCUUGUAUGAUACCAAAAAAAAAAUGAAAAAUAAAUUUAAACUUUAGUAAAAGUUUAUUGAAUUUCUUUUGAUGAUUUUUUUUAUAUAUAUAAAGAUAACACUUUUUAAUAAUAAAAUGACAUUUUGAAUUUGUCGAUGUUCUUUUAAAUUUAGAGUUUAGGGGUUUUAAUAUUUGAUACGAUUCGUUUAUAUAAUUUCAAUUCAAUAUGUUUUUUUAUAUGUUUAGAUCAGGUAUAAUCGUAUUUAGGUCAAAAUGAUACUUGCAUAACUUGCUUAAUAAUUGGAUUAAUUUUUGUUGUCUUAAAUAAAAUGAAUUUGAUCUAUGUUAAUCUAUUUAAUAAUAAUAUAAUCUAAUUAUUAAAUAGGUUACAUAAUAUGUUACUUAUUUAGUAAUUAGAUUUUUUUUUAACCUAAUUAUUAUUCUUGAAUUGACAUAUUUAAUUGAAUAUCCAAGACAUGACACAACCCCUAAAAUUCCUUAACUAAGAAUUCUCAUGCUAGUCAAUCAAUACAUUAACAUAUCCCAUAUUAUUAGUAUACAUUAACAUCUACUAAUAAUAUUAAAUAUGAUUAACAUAUUUAAUCUAAUUUUUUAAAAUUAUUAUAUUCAUUAUUUAUAUAAUAAUUAUCAUAAAAAUAAAUAUUUACAUUUACAAAAAGUUGAAAAAAAACAAUAAUUUUGCUAUAUAUUUAAUUUUACAACAUUAUUAUACAUAGAUAAGAGGUAGCUCAAUGGUCUAAAUGUUGCUUUUAAAAUUGGAGGUCAUCGGUUCAACAAAAUAAGGUACCAACCCAUGGUAUUGAAAGGUUCAUCAUCGAUUUAAUAAGAAAACGGUACCUAUGGGGACCUCCUCCAUGUGUCACUUUCCUCGGAGCUGCCCGGAUAACUGCCACAGAGUGUCCGAAGCCUCCAUCCGAACCACACGGGCAUGUGGCAAAUGACACCGAACUGCCUAAGAGGACGACACCUUUUAGCCAACCUUCAAGACCCUCUUACUACGGGUAAUAAUUUACACCUGACAUGGAAAUGACUGAUGGGAUCUCCCCAAAUCCUCACAUCCAUGUCAAUUAAUUAUCACACAUUGCCCCAUACUUCUAGCAAGUUGAAAGGACAGACAAUUGCAUGACUGAACAUUAUGACACAACUUCUGACGACACCUGUCAGCCGCCCAAAACUGCAAUGAUUGUCCUACUACUUGGAGGACAACCAUCAUUACAAAGAAGGUCAAAGUGCUUAGUCAACACUACAGUGACUUUCUCGUGAGCACUAUAAAAAGCUUCUUGAAGUAUAACCUAGGUGCGUACGCAUAUGCUGGCCUACUUAUUCUCCAUUUUAAAGAGCUGGACCUAUUUGUGUCUAACUUAAGCUUCGGAGGGACGUGCUUGGACCACCUGUCCGGACAUCCUUUGUGCAAGAAAGAAGCUCACCCAGUUCCUCAUUGCUGGGUAGAAGCUCUGAGAGGCACAACAUAAGGAGGAUCUGACCUCAAUUGGCUCUACAUCAACAAUACCAACUCAUGGUAUUGGGUUCAUCACCUGUUCAACAAGAAAACAAUUAGGUGGACGAUAUAGUUUGAUUUUUAAAACAUUAUUAAAAUUUUAAGAAAUAUUUUAUUGAAAAAGAUGAAAUAAUACCCAUAAUUAAAAUUAUUUCAUGAUUUCAUGAGUUUUUUUUUGGUAAUUUCUCAUAAUUACAAGUAUUUUUAAUUAUCUAUAACUACAUGGAUUUUUUUUUAUAAUUUUUCAUAAUUUUAUCAAUAUUUUUAUAGUUACUCAUAAUUAUAAGUGUCUUCUGUAAUUUCUCAAUAUUAUAAAGGUCUUUUUGUAGUCUCCCAUAACUACUCAAAAUUGCAAGGGUCUUUUUGUAAUUACACCUAAAUAUAGAAUUAUUUGUGCAAUUACUCAUAUUUAUACAAGUCUUUAAAUUAUUUAUAAUUAUAAAAGUAUUUUUGCAAUAACUCAUAAUUAUAAAGCCUUGAUGUAGUUACAGAUAAUUUUAGAGUUCUUUGUGUAGGAAUGGCAACGAGGCGGGUUCGGGACGGGUCACCCCCAUCCCAACUCCGCCCUGUUUAUUCAAAACAAAUUACAUCCCCGUCCCAUUUAAAAAAUUAAACGGGGCGGGGCGGGGCGGGUAUGAUAAAUUCUCAUACCCGCCCUGCCCCGUUUUUUUUUUUUUUUUUUUUUGAAUUCAUAACUGAAACAGCUGCUGCCCCUCCUUCGCGUACUUCCGUAGUGCUGCCGCGAUUAGAUCUCCGACUGUUGAAUCUGGCGACAUCACAACCUGGACUGGCCCUAAACUCCUUUGAACGGUGAGAUUGAGCAGCAACUUGGUCAACCGUGGCCCUCCCUCCGGCGACAGUCCAGAGACACUCCUACCUGAGAGUAGGUCCAGCAAGGUCUUUGGACAGCGAAGCUCCGCCUGUGGGGCCAUAGUCGUCGGAAUACCGGAGUGGAAUGACGACGAUCUCUAGGCCAGCUUCCCCUUCAGGUUCUUCUCUUCGUGUCCUCUCCGGUGAGUCUUGGAAGUAGAUAUGAUGAUAAUAGUAGAAUUCUAAAAGCGCGGGAAGGAAAUUUCAAUGAACAAAUUAUCUCAAUCGACAGUAAUGGAAGAAUCUGAGGUGAGGGAAGCCAAGAAAUGGAGAAGAGCUAGUGCUCUUUGGUUUUCGGGGCGACAGGAAGCCAUACCCAGAAUGGUGGAAGAGUGAAUAAAAGAAACAUUAAUCGGGACAGGGCGGGUCGGGGUGGGGGCAUACCCAAACCCGCCCCAGGUUUUUUAAACAAUUCCCAAACCCGUUUAUUUAAAUUUAACCCCGUCCCAUUAGGAGCGGGGUAGAGCGGGUACCCGAAAAAACCCGCCCCAUUGUCAUCCCUAUCUUUGUGUAGUUAUUCAUAUUUUUUAAAAUCUUUUUGUAAUUAUUUAUAAAUUUAAGUGUAUUUAUACAAUAUAUCAUAAUUUUAAGAAUAUUUAUAUAAUUAUUUAUAAUUUAAGGCAACUUUUCAUGUAUUGAAAAUUACCCAUAUAAGACCGAUUUAAUAUUUUUAUCUUUGAAAUUUUUAUUCCAAAAGUGCUUGAUAUGGAUGGGGAUUAAAAAUUGGUUGAAGGGUAGUUUUAUCCUAAAGAGAUUUUCUAAAAACAAUUUAUUGAUAGUUUAAUAAGUCUAUAACUUAAUCGGGUAAGCACUUUCUCCUUGAACAAAAGUUGGCCCGAUUUGACUAAUAUUUUUAAAAGAGCUUAGCAUAAGAAUUAAAAAGUAUCAUUUAUUAUAAAGUUAGGGUGGUCAUUUCAUGUUUAAAAAAUAUUUUAUAUGCAAAUAUGGUCAUUUAGAAAAAUUAUACUUUACGAUUAACUUCAAUUUUCAAUUAAAAUAAAAAAGUAAACGGUCAUACCAAACAUGAUCUUAAUAAUAAAUUAAAAUUUAAAUAACUUUUUUAAAAGAUUCAACGGGUGAGAUCAAAUCGAGUUCAUCACCAAAGGGUUAUAGAUGAUCUCUUUUUGUGAGUAUUUUUGAAAAGUUUUGAGAAUUGAUUUAAUCUUUGGAUGUUCGAUAAAAUUUACUACUUAUUACUUAAGGAAAUAAUUUGACUUCAAAUAUAAAACUUAAUAUAUUUGAUGCCAUGACUACUACUCUUAGCCUUGUUAUAGAUAUCUCCUUGUAAAAUCCAAAAUGACAAUGGAUAGCAACAUCCAUCUUGUAGAUACGACCAUAGUAACUAAAAGGGAAUGGUAAAUGUCUUAUUGGAAACCAUUUAGUUGAUGAGGAAUGGAAGAGGCAUUUUGUGAUCACAUCCUUCUUCAUUGUUCUAAAGCAAGUUUGUUAUAGCAAUUAGCCCUCUUGUGUGGAGUGAUUUGGGUGUUAUAUUCUUCAAUCCAAGGAAUAUUUUUAAGUCGGUACAACCACUUCAUUGAAAAGAGGAAAAAGAAGGUGUAGAAUAUUAUUCCUCUUUAUUUGUUUUGGACAAUUUGAAAAUGGAGGAAUUAAAAGACUUAAAAAUAUGAUGCUUUCAUAUUAAGAGUUAAAGUCCUCUUUUCUAUGUAACUUUUUAGAAUUGACUAAAGGGGGGUAAGGGUUAAGUCAUCAUCUAUGAUUGAUUUUAUUGAUUAAUUAGGUUACCAUAAGAGGUGGGUUUCCUUGUUUUUUACUUUGGAGCAUACUAGUGUACUUUUCGUAGCAUUUUUUUGACUCUUUCAUUUAUAUAGCUCUUCCUAGGUCUUUCAAAGGAUAGCGUUGUUGACAUAGGAGUCAUCCAUUGAAUGAUAAGGUACUUACUCAAAAUGGAAUAUAUUAAAUUUUCUAAUAGGUUUGCGGAAGAUUAAGAAUGCGUUUGACAAUAAAAUAUAUUGAAUUUUUUAGUGGGUUUGACAAUGAUUAUGGAAAGUGUUUCUAAUAUUUCUAACACUUAUUUUUUUUUUUCUUUCAAAUAUUAAAAAUUCUACUAAAAAAACUAAAAAAAAUCUAAGAAACAAUUAGAUGUUUAACAAAAUUUAGGAAAGAUUUUUAAAAAUCUAAAAAAUCAUUUAUAAUAUUAAAAAAUCACAUAUACUAUUUCUUAAAUAAACACUUUAUAAGUGAUUUUCAUAAAUAUAUUUCCAAAAAACCAUUUUCACUAAAAACACUAUCCUCAUGUGGCCGACCGUUAACCAAUGCCAUGAAGAAACACAACAAACAGAAUCAUAUGCUUUGAUCAUAGCAAUGUGAACAAUGUAAUCCUUCCAACUUUGAACAUUAUAAAGAGCAGUGCUUAAACAAUCAUGGCUACAGAAUCAGAGACCAUGAUCAAUGAGAACCAUUUGCUGAUCAGCUUGGGAUUACAGUUGAAGCCCACAUACCUCCUCAGCUGCCAGUCCAAGGUGAAAAACGAUAUGCGGCUUUGAAGGGUGAGCUAUUGGUUACUCUUGUCUCCCUUGGUCCCUCCGAUAACCGCUCCUGCAAACCAAGCCCAUUCCCUUCUCUCCAAGACCUUUCUGUUCAUCAUCUACGUGAGCCAAACAGUUGGGGUUGUGCAGAUUCUGUUAGUAUUCAACCAAGAAGAAUACCCUGAUUUCAUAUAUACUGGAAUAGUUAACUGGGUGAAUACCCUAACUACAUAUGUACUGGAAUAUUUAAUAGGGUGAAUACCCUAACUACAUAUGUACUGGAAUAUUUAACAGGGUGAAUACCCUAACUGCAUAUAUACACUGGAAUCUCCUGAUUAAAAACAAUGAGUAGAAAAAUAAUAGCGGAAGCAUACCUGAAUCCAUUGAAGGAGAAACCUUAUAGAAAAAAAAAAAAAACCCUUUGAGAUGGUCUUCCAAUUCUAGCCACUAGAUUCUGUGUCAAUUUCUCUCUGAGAGGAUUUUCAGAAAUUGGAAUGCGUAGUCGUAGAAUGGGGACCAUAACCCUAUUUAUAAACCGCUAGGGCAGUUUUAAUUUUAUCACAAUUAUAUUUCUGCCCCUCAUAGAAAUAAUAAUUGUCUAAUGGUAUCUACACAAUAAUCUCAUGACAAUUAUACCCUUAAGCCAAUUAAUCAAUUAUUAAUUAGAUCACUAUAUUUAGGCUUAAUUAAAUGAUAGCACACACAUUUUAAUUAUUUACAUGUGUGGCCCAAAUUAUAGAUUAAUUACAAAAAUUAAUCUAACAAUCUCCCACUGGGCCACAUGCAUAUGUAAUCAAAUAAAUGUGUUUAACCUUAUGAGCUCAAAAUUUGCUAUCAUGUCCUUAGGGUAUAUCCGAACAAUCUCGUCCAUUAACUAUAUUGACAUAGGAUCAAGGUGGCCUUUGUUACAUCAAUCGUUACUAGACCAAUCAAUGGUCACGUAUAUCUGCACAGCUAAAUGACAUAGAUCAAUCAUGAGUGCAUAGCAUGGAAACUACAUGCAAUGUGAUCUAUUCAUGCCUAUUUCCAACUGGUCCAACUUAACUUUAUUGAGAUCAAAUCUUUAGCAUAAUUUAACAGAGUGCAAUAAAAUGAAUACUUUAUUUCUGCAGAACACAAUCCAAAUGUAUAGAUAAAGUCUAAACAUAACAUAGAGCAAUAUACAAUGAAUAAUACAAACUCCCACUAAAUUUGGAUAUCCUCAAAUGAGACAACACCCAUAUGAGCAGUGUGCUCAUGAAAGACCUUGGGUGGUAAUCCCUUUGUAAGCGGAUCCGCUAUCAUGGAGUUUGUUCCAAUAUGCUCUAUGGAUAUCUGUCCACUCUGUACUUUUUCUUUUACAACAAGGAACUUGAUAUCAAUGUAUUUUGAUUUUGUAGAACUCCUGUUGUUAUUGGAAUAUAAAACUGCUGAUUUAUUGUCACAAAAUAUCUUCAGUGGUCUUUCAAUACCAUCCAGAACAUGCAGCCCAGUGACAAAAUUUCGUAGCCAUAUUCCUUGAUUGGAUGCCUCAUAACAUGCUACAAACUCCGCUUCCAUGGUGGAUGAAGUUACGAGUGUCUGUUUGGCAGACCUCCAUGAAAUUGCUCCACCAGCCAACAGAUAAAUAUAGCCUGAUGUGGAUCUUCUGCUGUCUUGGCAUCCAGCAAAGUCGGAGUCGGAAUACCCAAUCAACUCUAACUGAUCCAAUCUCCUAUAUGUAAGCAUGUACUCUUUUGUUCUCUGUAAAUAUCUCAUAACCCUCUUGGCUGCUCUCCAAUGAUCCAUUCCAGGGUUACUUAGAUAUCUGCCUAACAUGCCAACAAUGUACGCAAUAUCCGGACGUGUACAUACCUGAGCAUACAUUAGACUCCCCACAGCCGAAGCGUAAGGAAUCUUCUGCAUUUCUUGACUUUCUAAACUAUUUUUAGGGCAUUGAUUAAGACUGAAUUUGUCUCCUUUAGCGACAGGGGUAUCACCUGGUUUGCUAUUUUGCAUGCCAUACCUUUGGAGGACUUUAUCAAUAUAGGUCCUUUGUGACAAUCCUAAAAUACCCCUAGAACGAUCUCGGUGUAUCUGGAUUCCUAAGACAAAGGAGGCAUCACCAAGAUCUUUCAUCUCAAAAUGUUUUGAUAAAAAUCUCUUAGUGUCGUGCAAUAUGCUAAUAUCAUUUGUGGCUAGCAAUAUGUCAUCGACAUAUAAAACCAGGAAAAUAUACUUACUCCCACUGAAUUUGUGAUACACACAUUCAUCCAUAAGAUUUGCCUCAAAACCAUAUGAGACAAUAAUUUGAUGAAACUUGAAGUACCACUGACGAGAAGCUUGCUUGAGCCCAUAAAUGGAUUUAGUCAAUUUACAAACCAUAUUCUUUGAGUCUUCGGACACAAAAUUUUCUGGUUGUACCAUAUAAAUUGUUUCAUCAAUGUCACCAUUGAGAAACGCUGUUUUAACAUCCAUUUGAUGUAACUCAAGAUCAUAAUGUGCAACUAGUGCCAUGAUUAUCCUGAAAGAGUCCUUCGUAGAAACUGGAGAGAAGGUCUCUUUGAAGUCAAUUCCUUCUUUUUGAGUAAAGCCUUUAGCUACAAGACGUGCUUUAUAUCUUUCUACAUUACCAUUUGAAUCCCGCUUGGUUUUAAAUAUCCAUUUACAACCAAUGGGUUUCGUACCAACUGGUAAUGGGACAAGUUCCCAAACUUUAUUGUCUUGCAUAGAUUUGUACUCUUCAUUCAUGGCUUCAAUCCAUUUCUGAGAGUUGGAACUUUUCAUGGCUUGCUGGAAGUUGAUUGGAUCAUCUUCCAUCAUUCCACUUUCUACCUCACGUUCCUGGAGAUAUACGAUAUAAUCGUCCGAAAUUGCAUUUCUCCUCUCUCUAGUGGAUCUCCUUAAUGACAUAUUUUCUUGAGGUUGUUGAGUUUGUUCUUCAGGAGCAAUGUCCUCAUUUGCAAUUAAGGGUUGAACAAUAUUGUCUGUUGGUUGAGGAUCCAAAUUUACUUCUUGAUCAAUGAUAGGUAGUGAAACCUGUACAUUAUCAAAAGCAAUAGUAGAUCCCUCUUCCUCCUCAAAGACAAUAUUCCUAGCCUGAUUUCUCCCCCCAAACUCAACAUCCUCAAAAAAUGUUGCAGUUCCCGUCUCAAAAAAUUGACCUAAUAGCAGGAUCAUAAAAUUUAAAACCCCUUGAUCGCUCUGCAUAGCCAAUAAAGUAGCUGCUAACUGUUUUAGAGUCCAAUUUCUUUUCAUGAGGCUUAUAAGGUCUCGCUUCAGCUGGACAUCCCCAAAUAUGAAAAUGCUUUAAACUGGGCUUUCGACCCGUCCAAAGCUCAUAAGGCGUUUUAGCAGCCGCUUUAGUUGGCACCCGAUUUAGGAUAUAAGCUGUCGUUUUGAGUGCUUCACCCCAGAGUUUUUCGGGUAAAGUAGAAUGACUAAUCAUACUCCUUACCAUGUCCUUAAGGGUUCGGUUUCGUCUUUCUGCUACACCAUUCAUGCUAGGUGAUCCUGGCAUGGUGUAUUGAGGGACGAUCCCACAUUCCUCUAGGUAUUUAGCAAAUGGUCCUGGAUGUUGUUCACCUGAUCCGUCAUAUCUACCAUAGUAUUCACCACCACGGUCAGAUCUGACGCUCUUUAUUCUUUUGUUGAGUUGUAACUCAACUUCUGCUUUAAAUGUUUUGAACACAUCCAAUGAUUGUGAUUUCUCAUGUAUAAGAAAUAGGUAGCCAUAUCUUGAGUAGUCGUCUAUGAAUGUUAUAAAGUACUGUUGACCAUUCCAAGAUGCCGUAGGGUAUGGUCCACAGAUAUCUGUAUGAAUUAAUUCUAAGACGUCUGUAGCUCUAUUGGCACCUAAUUUCUUUGUUUUGGUCUGUUUUCCUUUAAUACACUCAACACAAAUAUCAAAAUCUGAAAAGUCAAGUGAAUCCAAAAUCCCAUCGGACACAAGUCGCUCAACUCUAGAUUUAGAGAUAUGACCUAGGCGUUUGUGCCACAAUGAGGCCGAAUUAUCUUUAUUCAAUUUACGUUUUGUACCUCGUGAUUCCACAUGCAAGGUUUCAUUAUAGGACGGAACAGUUUCCAACAAAUAUAGAUUAUCAUAAACAUUAAGUAAACCGGUUCCUACAACAUUUGAAUUAAUAGAUAAUGUAAAUUUAUUGUUUCCAAAUGAACAAUAAUAACCUGAUUUGUCCAAAACAGAAACUGAAAUUAAAUUCCGUCUGAAAGACGGUACAAUAAAAGUAUCUAUUAAAUCCAAAAAAAUAACCAGAUUUCAAUAAUAAUCUAAAGUGCCCUAUUGCCUCUACUUCUACCGACUGACCGUCUCCGACAUAGAUGCAUCUUUCAGCAUCACUUGGUUUUCGGUAACUCAGGCAACCCUGCAUAGAAGCACAAAUGUGAGUAGUAGCACCAGAAUCUAACCACCAUGUGUUUCUAGAUACUGAAGCUAAAUUAACUUCAGAACAGACCAAAGUAAGAAACAUACCUUUCUUAACACGCCAAGCAGCAUACUUGGUACAUUCCUUCUUAGUAUGUCCAGGCUUAUUACAGAAGAAACAUGUUACCUCAACUUUCUGUUUCUUUUGUUCUGGACCAUUAGAAGCAGCAACCUUAUUAUCCUUAUUUUUUCGUUUGCCCUUAUCCUUCGAAAUGCUAGCCAGAUGAGCACUUUCGGUCUUGUCUUGCUUCAAUCUCUCUUCCUCUUGCACACAGAAUGAAAUGAGCUCAUUAAGAGUCCAUUUAUCCUUUUGACAAUUAUAACUGACCUUGAAUUGAUUAAAUUGUGCAGGAAGAGAGAUGAGAACCAAAUGCACGAGUAAAUCAUCAGAUAACUCGAGUUUCAAAGCCUUAAGUUUUGAAGCAAGAUGAGACAUCUCCAUGAUGUACUCCCGAACAUUACCCUUGCCUUUAUACUUCAUUGAAAUCAAGCUUGCUAAAAGCGUGCUCGUUUCAGCCUUAUCGUUUUUUGGCAAAACGUUUCUGAAUUUCCGCAAGGAAGUCACUGGCAUUAGUAACCUCAUCGGUUACCGCACCCCUGAAAGCUUCUGGAAUGCCGCGCUUCAUGAUCAUAAGACUUAGCCUAUUUGAACGUUCCCACUUACCCCAAUAAACCUCAUCCUCUUGAGUACUUUGCUCAUUGAGUUCAUCGGGUUUGGGCAUUCUCAAAGCCAAGUCUAUAUCCAUGCAGCCUAAGAGAAUCAUCAUAUUCUCUUUCCAGUCCUUAAAAUUAGUCCCAUUUAACAUAGGGACAUUAUUGAUGUUGGCAGAUAUAGAAGUAGUUGAUAUAAAAGCUGAAUCCAGAACAAAAUAAAAUGAAUCAAAUAAACCAUCAUGCUCACAUAAAAUAAGCAAUUAAACACAUAAUCUUUAAAUUUAAAAGCAAAUUAUGACAUUUCAAGAUACCUAGCACAACAUUAAUAUCAAGUCUUUGGACAGUAAUAUUAAUUGUAAGUGGUACUCUUGUUGUAGUGAUCAAACAUUGAUGAUAAGUUAUGUCAAAUAAUAAAUCUAUCUUUGGAUUGAUUUAUUAUUUACAUUAAGUUACCUUUAUAAUCAUCACAUAUUUAUCACCACAAGUAUGUAUGCAAUUUGACCAAAUAUUAACUUUCCUUUGGGCCAAUCAAUACCCGCAUGAAUCACAUACACACAAAUAUCUAACACCCCGAACAGACUAAUCUACACGGAAGAUGUCACUUUGGUGAUUUUCCGCUUUAAUUAGCCUAUUUAAAAUGCUAGAUCAAUAACUUAAAUAUUAAUAUCAUAAAAUGCUAUUAAAUAAUAAUAAUAAUAAUAAUAAUAAUAAUAAUAAUAAUAAUUUUAAUAAAAAAAAAUUUAUCAACUCAAUAUUUCAUAAAUAUUAAUCCAUUGACAUAUAUUAAAAUAAUAACUCAAAGAAUUAAUCAAGGAGUAGGCUCUGAUACCACUUGUUAGUAUUCAACCAAGAAGAAUACCCUGAUUUCAUAUAUACUGGAAUAGUUAACUGGGUGAAUACCCUAACUACAUAUGUACUGGAAUAUUUAAUAGGGUGAAUACCCUAACUACAUAUGUACUGGAAUAUUUAACAGGGUGAAUACCCUAACUGCAUAUAUACACUGGAAUCUCCUGAUUAAAAACAAUGAGUAGAAAAAUAAUAGCGGAAGCAUACCUGAAUCCAUUGAAGGAGAAACCUUAUAGAAAAAAAAAAAAAACCCUUUGAGAUGGUCUUCCAAUUCUAGCCACUAGAUUCUGUGUCAAUUUCUCUUUGAGAGGAUUUUCAGAAAUUGGAAUGCGUAGUCGUAGAAUGGGGACCAUAACCCUAUUUAUAAACCGCUAGGGCAGUUUUAAUUUUAUCACAAUUAUAUUUCUGCCCCUCAUAGAAAUAAUAAUUGUCUAAUGGUAUCUACACAAUAAUCUCAUGACAAUUAUACCCUUAAGCCAAUUAAUCAAUUAUUAAUUAGAUCACUAUAUUUAGGCUUAAUUAAAUGAUAGCACACACAUUUUAAUUAUUUACAUGUGUGGCCCAAAUUAUAGAUUAAUUACAAAAAUUAAUCUAACAGAUUCUGCUCUCAAUGGUCCUCCAUCAACUGACCAGAUUAGUUUUCAUGGCCACUUCUCCUUGGUGCAAAAUUUCAAUAAAUUUAGUAUAAAAAAAAUCAGUAUGAAAGUUUUUAAUAAAAAGUGAUAUCAUCUUUUUAAGAGAUUAUUAAUAUAAAAAAAUAAAUUUAUCUUUUGAAAAUACGAGUAGAAUGAGACGUGUAAUUUUUUCAAUCAUCUAUUCAUCUAUUUUAAGUAACAGAGGAAUAUUUAAGCAGUGGUCCUUCAAUUCUACAGAUCUUAUCAGAAAAUAAUAAUGAUUAUAGUCAACGGCUCCGCUGGCAACAGGAAAUCAAAACCAAAUAAAUAAAUAAAUAAAAGCAUGGACCCUUCUGGAAAGGGAAUAAAAAGAAAGCAAUCAACCUUAAAAGGUCAACUUCAUUGUCAGGUGUUAGAAGUUUCCCGCGAGGCUUGGAGUUGUGUAAUUUGGUAGCGGCUGAUUAGGUCUAGAACCCAAAUCUUCGUUGACUGAUUUUAUAUAGUAUAUUCCGGAAAUGAGGUAGAAGGUGCCUUUUCUUUUGAAGUUUUAUAUCAUGGAUAUGGUUUGCAGAUCUAGUCACGUGGUCCUUUCCUCCCAUACCUAUGAAUGGAUUCAUUACACGGUAAUAGUAAUAGGAGAAUAUGAACAGAGUACAAAUGUAUUUACAAGAAUGGCAAAUGCCAAUAUGCCAUACAAAACCAGGAUAGGGAGGGAAUGAGAGUGAAUGGAGAGAGAGAGAGAGAAGGGAACAAAGAAUUGCACAAUGCAAUCCUCAGUCUAGAGACAAAUAGUUGAGUGCACUUUAGUCGAAGAUGACACUACUUUCAAUUAAAAGACUCUGACUUGGAUUUUUAGCUCGUACAUGGGUGACAGGAGUUGAACAACCCCAUAAUAAAAUAUUUCAAACAUCUUGACGCAAAUGUGGGCCACGCCGACUUCAAACAUCUUCAAGCAAAUGUGGGCACCGUGCGCGUCAAUCAUCGCUUCCCAAGUUCCCAACUACCUCCGAAGCAACACCCAAUUAGUUUCCUCGACAAUUUCCUAAGAAGACAGCCAAUUCGGCCUUUAAAUAUGAUCAUCAAACCAAGACGCCACAAUCAAAGAGAAGGAAAAAAAGAAAAAGGCAAUUAAGUUGAGAACCAUGGCUGCAGUUGAAGAACCAUUAGUCGAUCAGCUCAACAUAACAGUUGAAGAACCAUUGGUGGAUCAGCUCAACAUUGAAGCUCAUGCAACCCCCCCUCAACAGCUGGCUCCGGCUCAAGAUCAGAAGGCUGUUUUCAAGGCUGGGUUGUUCACAAGUCUCAUCUCCAUUGGAGGGAUUCUAUACCCUCCCAUAACUGCUACGGUAAACAAAACCCACAGCCUUCUCUCAAAGACGUUCCAUUUUAUGGUCUUUAUGAGCCUAGCAAUUGGGGUUUUGCAGAUUCUGCUCUCAACCGUCCUCCAUUGGCUGCCCGGAUUGACCAUCACAGCAAAAUCAUUGACCAAAAUAGGAUGGGCAUUACUGACAAUUGCAUUAGGGUAUGGGUCUUCUUUGGUUUUAAUGGUUUCUUCUUCUCCUUGGUUUGCCCUCCACCUAAUCUUUCUUUCCAUCCGAUUUAUGUAAAUGCGAAGACUCGGUACAAUAUUUUUAGGUAGGGGUAUUGGUUUUUUAAGGGUAUAGAUCCUCUUAUCUGUUCACUUCACAGGAUGGAUUUUGUAGAUGAAGUUAAUAGAGAAGGUUUUCCAAUUUUUUAGUACUCUAUAACUAUUUUCAAUGUUUUUUUAUGAUAUCAUCCAUAAUCGAACUGACGAUUCAAGCAGUUGGGAUUGCAUACAUCAACUAAUAAGCGGUCAAGCUCAGCCAGAGAUUAUUAAAAAUGAUAUUAGAAAAAAGAUUGCAUUCAUGAUGGCAAAGGAAAUUACUAAGAAAUUUCUGUAGAAAACAAAUCAGGAUUGGCUGCUUCCGGGCCCCUUCCAUAGAUGGAUCAUGGGGGGUCAAGAGGGCUUGACCUAACUCUUGUCAAAACUCUGCCAAACAGCAAAUUUUUGUGGAUUGAAUUCGCAAUAUUCUGCUUCUAUGGGGUAUAGGCUUUUGUCAAGAAGGCUGGACACAACAGAAGUCAAUCAUAUAGCAUUUUUGCUGAUUGGGCUCUCAUUGUUUUACUUUCAUUCUUCGAAAUUUUCUCCGUUGACUUCUCAUUUUGAGAUAUGGCUUUUGCUAUUGCUUUCAUCUUUCGGACAUUUUUUGAUCUCUUCAUUGUUACCCCUUUCUUCCUGUUACGGAAAAGAUUCACUUCAGACACAUAACAUAGGGCUCAAAUGGCAGUAGAUAUCAAGACAAAAUAAUAAUGAUAAAAACCAAGAACUUCGCACCAUCUGACAAGAGACAAGGAAAAAAUCAACUUGAAUAGAAUGAAGUACAUUAUUUAUUGUCAAGGGUUUGAAGCUUCCAGGGCCUUGGAUCAAGUGGUCAGGCUGGGGCCAAGUAGGGGUACACCUAGGGUUUAGACAAA